rnacentral:rRNA from 1 species
UUCGCAAUGCCCGAAAGGGUGACGAAGCGACGCCGCGUGUGGGAAGAAGGCCUUCGGGUUGUAAACCACUGUCGGGAGUUAAGAAAUGUAAGGGUGCUAACAGCAUCCUUACUUGACUAAGGCUCCGGAGGAAGCCACGGCUAACUCUGUGCCAGCAGCCGCGGUAAUACAGAGGCGGCAAGCGUUGUUCGGAAUUAUUGGGCGUAAAGAGCACGUAGGCGGCCUUGCAAGUCAGUUGUGAAAUCCUUCUGCUUAACGGAAGAACAGCAGCUGAUACUACAGGGCUUGAGUGCGGGAGGGGAGAGUGGAACUUCUGGUGGAGCGGUGAAAUGCGUAGAUAUCAGAAGGAACGCCGGCGGCGAAAGCGGCUCUCUGGCCCGUAACUGACGCUGAGUGUGCGAAAGCUAGGGGAGCAAACGGGAUUAGAUACCCCGGUAGUCCUAGCCGUAAACGAUGGGCACUAAGUAGAGGGGUUUU